CACACCAUGGGAGUGGACUGCACCAGAAGUGGUUAGCCUAACCUUCGGGAGGGCGAUCACCACGGUGUGGUUCAUGACUGGGGUGAAGUCGUAACAAGGUAGCCCUAGGGGAACCUGGGGCUGGAUCACCUCCUUAUCGACACUGUCUACUGCUCGCGGCAAGUGCUCACAACGAAUUACCUGAUCUUAUUGCUGGCUUAGCCGGCAGUGGCAAGCGUGCUCAUCAGAGCGCGCUUCUCACUGUUCUCUGAACAGCCGCUCUUUAACAAUGUGAAUCAUGCUGACGAUAGAUGUGUGCGCCAAGCGCAUGUCUAUCAAACGAUAUGUCGGAGAGGUCCGACAGAUUCGUAAUCCUUGACAGACCCCUUGGGGUUAUAUGGUCAAGCGAUUAAGCGCAUACGGUGGAUGCCUUGGCAGCCAGAGGCGAUGAAGGACGUGAUAGCCUGCGAUAAGCGUUGGCGAGGUGGCAAAUACCCUGCGACCCAAC
rnacentral:misc_RNA from 2 species